CAGCAGCCGCGGUAAUUCCGGCGGCCCGAGUGGCGGUCACUAUUAUUGGGCUUAAAGCGUCCGUAGCCGGGUUGGGAAGUCCUCCGGGAAAUCUGGCCGCUUAACGGUCAGAAUGCCGGAGGAUACUCCCAGCCUAGGGAGCGGGAGAGGCCGAGGGGAUUCCCGGAGGAGGGGGGAAAUCCUAUAAUCCCGGGAGGACCACCUGUGGCGAAGGCGCUCGGCUGGAACGCGUCCGACGGUGAGGGACGAAGGCCAGGGGAGCAAACCGGAUUAGAUACCCGGGUAGUCCUGGCUGUAAACGAUGCGGACUUUGUGUCGGACAAGCUAUGAGCUUGUCCGGUGCCGGAGGGAAACCGUUAAGUCCGCCGCCUGGGGAGUACGGCCGCAAGGCUGAAACUUAAAGGAAUUGGCGGG
rnacentral:rRNA from 1 species